rnacentral:tmRNA from 1 species
GGGGUCGACUGGAUUUGACAGCGAUUUAGUAAUAUUGGUAAGCAAAUCGAGCGAUUAGUUACAGCUCGUUAAUAUCAACUAAAACUUUUAAAUGGCGAAAAUAAAUACGCUCUUGCUGCUUAAUGACUGAAUUAUAGUAGGUCUGGCCAUGUCCUACAAGGUAGGAAUGCAAGAUGUCUCGAAAUAAUUUUUGUUAAUAAUUUUUUCAUAGAGACACCAUUAAAUUAACAUAGGAUAAUUAAUUCUUCAGUAAUUAUCUGAAUUCAUUGAAGAUAAGUAGUGUUUGUGUAGUUUUCAGCAAGAAUACUAACGAAAAUCAAAUGAAAACUAAAUUUGUAGAAAUCUAGUAUUUCAGUCGUUUGGACGAGGGUUCGAUUCCCUCCGACUCCACAA